GUCAACAGUGAUUACAAAAAAAAAUCUCAUAAAGACCAAAAAGUAUUACAAGAAAUAAUAUAUACAUGCAUACACACACUUGCAUACACACAAAUGUGUUUUAGUUUUUGGAUGAUUCUUAAAUUGUAAAGCAAAUUUUCAUAAAUAAUUCUAAGUCAAAGUAUUGGCCAUGAGAAGACCUGGCAACAGCACUGGGGAAAAAAAGUUGCAUCACUUAAAUUAUCAUGUCAAAAAAAUUCUAGCACACAAUGAUUAUAAUUAUAUGUAUGUAUGACAAUAAGAUAACCACAGAGAAAAAUAAAUCAGUUAAUGAUUUCAUAAUCAUACCUUAUAUAUGUGUGACAUUUUCAGUUCUUUGACUACAUUAAAGUAAUUUGAAUUGGUUACCUGCUGUGGGUAGGAAGUCUAAUUCUUUCACAUCUCUGUUGUAAAAUUUGGUUCCAUUCUUGAUUGCUUUUGUUGCUAACCAUUAAUAAGCCAGGUAUAUCAUCACUUUGGGAAUCCUGUUAAGAUCCAUUUUACAAGGCUCACAUAAAGCUGACUUACACUUUGGGAAUAUACCUAGCAUUCUGGAAACUGUGCUCUCUCAGGAAGCAGGUUAAAUGGGCACAUGUGUAGCCUAGCAACAAAAUAACUGUGUAGCUGUCUAUCAUUGCCAUUUUCCAUUUCACCUAAAUCAAGAGCAAGAAAAGCCUUAUGGAUAAGGGGAAAAUAAAUAAGUUAUUGAUUUUAUUAACAUAGCAAAAACAAAUCUGCCAGUCAGAAUGGAGUUAUUGUCCCGAAAGCCUGAAAAAAAGUACAGUUAUAGGAGCACAGGCAGGCAUAGGGCAAAGGUUCCCUGAGUCAGUGCUCUUUUAGUAUUUAUUAAAAUUAAUUAUAUUUCCUGCACCUUCUCUGUUAGUGGUAAUGCCUAGUGUGUUUAUUGGACAGGAUAUUAGAAAUUUACCACAAAUAAUCCUCGAGUAAUCAAACGUUGUUUCAAUUACAGUUUAAAACCUGAUUAAAUUCAUUUUUCAAGUGCUUAUAAAGAAUUUCACAAUCUCCUGAUUUAUCCAGGAGAAAAUUGGGUUUUCUAGAUUUUCUUAAAUAUAUAAUGUCUUCUGGAGUGAAAUUAGCUUAUCUUUCUUUUUAUUUUUAUUUUUUUUGAGAUGGAGUUUCGCUCUUGUGAAAUCACACAGUAUGUAAUCUUGACUUCUUUCACUUAGAAUAAUUAUUUAAAAACUCAUCCAUAUUGCUGUGUGAAUCAAGAGUGCACUCCUUCCUGUUACUUGGUUAUCUCAUUGUGCUUUUAAUGUGCAGUUCCCUUAAUGAUUAAUGAAAUUGACUUUUCAUGUGUUUAUUGGCUAUCUGCAUGUCUCCUUUGAUUAAGUACCUGCUUAAAUGUGUCUAUUUUUUAACUGCAUUGUCUUAUUAUUGUUUUUUUGUUGUUUUUGUUUUUUUUUUUUUUUUUUGAGAUGGAGUUUCGCUCUUGCUGCCCAGGCUGAAGUGCAAUGGCACAAUCUGAGCUCACCGCAACCUCCGCCUCCCAGGUUCAAGCAAUUCUCCUGCUUCAGCCUCCAGAGUAGCUACGAUUACAGGCAUGCACCACCACGCCUGGCUAAUUUUGUAUUUUUAGCAGAGACGGGGUUUCUCCAUGUUGGUCAGGCUGGUCUUGAACUCCCGACCUCAGAUGAUCCGCCCACCUUGGCCUCCCAAAGUGCUAGGAUUACAGACGUGAGCCACUGAACCCAGCUUUUCUCACAGUCUGUAGCUUGAUUUUUCAAUUUCUUAACAAUGUCUUUUGAAGAACAAAAGUCAUUAAUUUUGAUGAGGUACAAUUUAAAAAUUUUUCUUUUUAUAGAUCAUGCAUUAUGUGUCAUUUUUUAGAAAUAUAUGCCAAAUAUCAGGUCACUAAAAUUUAUUCCUAUAUUUUCUUCUAGAAGGUUAACUUUUACAUUUAGCCCUAUGAUCUAUUUCAAAAUAAUGUUGUAUAUGACAGGAGGUAAGAAUCAAUGUUUGUUAUUUUGGGGGAUAUAUGGCUAUCCAAAUGUUUUGGUUCCAUUUGUUGAAAAGAUUC
rnacentral:lncRNA from 1 species